UACGAAGGGGGCUAGCGUUGCUCGGAAUCACUGGGCGUAAAGGGUGCGUAGGCGGGGUUUUAAGUCAGAGGUGAAAUCCUGGAGCUCAACUCCAGAACUGCCUUUGAUACUGAAGAUCUUGAGUUCGGGAGAGGUGAGUGGAACUGCGAGUGUAGAGGUGAAAUUCGUAGAUAUUCGCAAGAACACCAGUGGCGAAGGCGGCUCACUGGCCCGGUACUGACGCUGAGGUGCGAAAGCGUGGGGAGCAAACAGG
rnacentral:rRNA from 1 species